UUGAACGCUGGCGGCAUGCUUUACACAUGCAAGUCGGACGGCAGCACAGAGAAGCUUGCUUCUUGGGUGGCGAGUGGCGAACGGGUGAGUAACAUAUCGGAACGUACCGAGCAGUGGGGGAUAACUAAUCGAAAGAUUAGCUAAUACCGCAUAUCUUCUGAGGAAGAAAGCAGGGGACCAUUUGGCCUUGCGCUGUUUGAGCGGCCGAUAUCUGAUUAGCUAGUUGGUGGGGUAAAGGCCUACCAAGGCGACGAUCAGUAGCGGGUCUGAGAGGAUGAUCCGCCACACUGGGACUGAGACACGGCCCAGACUCCUACGGGAGGCAGCAGUGGGGAAUUUUGGACAAUGGGCGCAAGCCUGAUCCAGCCAGGCCGCGUGUCUGAAGAAGGCCUUCGGGUUGUAAAGGACUUUUGUCAGGGAAGAAAAGGGCGGGGUUAAUACCCCUGUCUGAUGACGGUACCUGAAGAAUAAGCACCGGCGAACUACGU
rnacentral:rRNA from 1 species